rnacentral:lncRNA from 1 species
CUUUCUCUGUGGCUUUGGAGGCUGUCCUGGAACUCGCUCUUGUAGACCAGGCUCUGCCUCCGAGUGCUGGGAUUAAAGGCGUGCACCACCAAUGCCCGGCUACUCAGGCUCCUUAUAACCCUGCUUUUCAUCUUUUAUCUUCCUUCCCCGGUCCCCUCUCUCUGCCGACACUGUCCACUCUGGGGCCAUCGUCAGUCUACCGGGACUCUUCAGACGCCCCUGCCUGUUCUCUUGCUCACACCUACGGUAAAAACCUUCCACUUUACCCUAUCUUGGCUCGGACCUGUCGUCAGUUUUAUACACUUCCUACUUCUUUUCUCCAUUGUUGGGUGUGGGGUUUGUUAUUAUUGUUUGUUUGUUUGUUUGUUUGUUUGUUUGUUUGAGACAGGCUCUCACCAGGUAGCCCUAGCUGACCUGGAACUCACAGACACCUGGACCUCUGAAAUUAAAGGCACAUACCACCACCUCCGAUCCUGUUGUUGGAUUUUGAGAGAAGUUCUCACUACUAUAGCCCAGACAUACUCCCUGUGGCUGGCCCUGCUCCUCAGACCCCCAUCUCUGUCUCUAGGGCUGUAGACCAAGACUUGGUCUCAAAGGAGGAGCACUGGACUCUGAUAGGGGCCCACUGCAGCUCUUCUGUCAGCACUGAAGAGCUGGCCUGUCUGCAGUAGGAUGGCUGAGCUGCAGGAAAAUCCUG